GAGGACCCCGGGGUCCUGAUUAUUGGGGGGUCUUAAUACUAUGCAAUAGUUAAAACUUUCAACAACGGAUCUCUUGGUUCUGGCAUCCAUGAAAAACGCACCGAAAUGCGAUAAGUAAUGUGAAUUGCAGAAUUCAUGAAUCAUCAAUCUUUGAACGCACAUUGCGCCCCUUGGUAUUCCAGGGGCAUGCCUGUUCAGCGUCAUUACAACCCUCAAGCAUUGCUUGGUGUUGGGCUCCGCUGCUCACCCACCGGGCCUUAAAAUCAGUGGCGGUGCCGUCGGGCCCUGAGCGUAUAAAUCUCCUCUCUACAGGGACCCGGUGGACACUGGCCAUCAACCCCUCACUUUCUAAAUUUGACCUCGGAUAACGUAAGAUACCCGCUGAACGGGAGCAUAUCAGGAG
rnacentral:rRNA from 1 species